GAAUUGGACAUGGGCGAAGCCUGAUCCAGCCAUGCCGCGUGUGUGAAGAAGGUCUUCGGAUUGUAAAGCACUUUAAGUUGGGAGGAAGGGCAGUAAGUUAAUACCUUGCUGUUUUGACGUUACCAACAGAAUAAGCACCGGCUAACUUCGUGCCAGCAGCCGCGGUAAUACGUAGGGUGCAAGCGUUAAUCGGAAUUACUGGGCGUAAAGCGCGCGUAGGUGGUUCAGCAAGUUGGAGGUGAAAUCCCCGGGCUCAACCUGGGAACUGCCUCCAAAACUACUGAGCUAGAGUACGGUAGAGGG
rnacentral:rRNA from 1 species